UUCUGCUCGUCAUAUUGUCUCUUUUUUUUUUUUCUCCGAUUGCUUAGGUACAGCUGAAGACUCCUGCACCUUUUCUCCUUCAGCAAUGUCAACAAGCCAUAUGUUUCCCUUUUGUGCCACUAAAUGACAUACACAGGAAAAAAAAAAGCAACCAUCCACGGCUGCUCUCUCGGGUUUGAAGAAGCACUCAACGCAGGCCAGCCGGAUUCCUCGCUAAUAUACUGGUGUUCUGUCCUCCCUUUUGCAUGCUGUUACAUAUUUUUUGGCUUUGCUCCUAUUAAAUUCCAGGGAGAACUGCUGGAUGAUCCAUUACCGUUUCCACAAUCCACAUCUGUCCUCUUUGUGGAGCUGCCUGGCUGGCUGUUAGCAUGCUCCUGGUCACCAUUUUGAGACAUCGAUAGAAUGGUUUAAUUCCCUGACUGUGCAUUUAUUUACCUCCACAUACACUUCAAGGCGGUGAAUUUUUGGUUCCAGGAAUGCCGUCUUCUGUAGCAGUUUUUGAUAGUCUUCAGUGGAAAAGCGAGGCAUCUUGUUGCUGGUCUUGUUGCUAAUAGCAGGCUUGUGCUGAUUAGCAGGCCACGCUCACGUAAUGGUGAGGGAAUAUAAAAAAAAUAUUGGAAUAUGGCAAUGACUGACUGUAUCUACAAAAUGUACGGUCAAGUUUAAAAAUAUCCAGGAAUCGCUGCUUCUAAUUUCUUUGGAAGAAGAAAAACAAGUUUAUCAGAAAGAAAAAUGUAAACAGAGGCCAAGCAAGUAGAACAAGCAAAAAAGCAUUUGCACUGUAUGAGAAUAGGAGUGGAAGAUAGUCGUGGGAAUUUUUUUUUUACCAAGACAGUCAUUCUACCAGUGCACUGAAUUAUUUUACUUGUGAGGACAAAGAGCAUAUUAGUACAUUGAUGGACCUUUAAGUUGGAUAGCAAGGAUAUUGAAUAAAGGAUUAAACGGCUUUUCAUUAUAACAUACCAGAAGCGGAAAAUCAAUUAUUACAGGUUAAACUUUUACAACCCCAAUUGCAAUGUAGUUGGGAUGUUGUGUCAAACAUAAAUAAAAACAGAAUACAAUGAUAUUUGCAAAUCAUGUUCAACCUAUAUUUAAUUGAAAUACACUGCAAAGACAAGAUAUUUAAUGUUCAAACUGAUAAACGUUAUUGUUUUUAGCAAAUAAUCAUUAAUUUAGAAUUUUAUGGCUGCAACACGUUCCAGAAAAGCUGGGACAGGUGGCAAAAAAGACUGAGAAAGUUGAGGAAUACUCAUCAAACACCUGUUCGGAACAUCCCACAGGUGAACAGGCUAAUUGGGAACGGGUGUGUGCCAUGAUUGGGUAUAAAAGGAACUUCCCUGAAUUGCUCAGUCAUUCACAAGCAAAGAUGGGGCGAAGUUCACCUAUUUGUGAACAAGUCCGUGAGAAAAUAGUCAAACAGUUUAAGGACAAUGUUCCGCAACAUACAAUUGCUAGGAAUUUAGGGAUUUCAUCAUCUACGGUCCAUAAUAUCAUCAAAAGGUUCAGAGAAUCUGGAGAAAUCACUGCAUGUAAGCGGCAAGGCCGGAAACCAACAUUGAAUGUUCGUGACCUUCGAUCCCUCAGGUGGCACUGCAUCAAAAACCGACAUCAAUGUGUAAAGGAUAUCACCACAUGGGCUCAGGAAUCCUUCAGAAAACCAAUGUCAGUAAAUAAAGUUCGGCGCUACAUCCGUAAGUGCAACUUGAAACUCUACUAUGCAAAGCAAAAGCCAUUUAUUAACAACACCCAGAAACGCCGCCGGCUUCUCUGGGCCCGAGCUCAUCUAAGAUGGACUGAUGCAAAGUGGAAAAGUGUUCUGUGGUCCGACGAGUACACAUUUUAAAUUGUUUUGGGAAAAUGUGGACGUCGUGUCCUCCGGGCCAAAGAGGAAAAGAACCAUCUGGACUGUUACGGACGCAAAGUUCAUCUGUGAUGGUAUGGGGCUGUGUUAGUGCCAAUGGCAUGGGUAACUUACACAUCUGUGAAGGCACCAUUAAUGCUGAAAGCUACAUACAGGCUUUGGAGAAACAUGUGCUGCCAUCCAAGCAACGUCUUUUUCAUGGACGCCUCUGCUUAUUUCAGCAAGACAUGCCAAACCACAUUCUGCACGUGUUACAACAGCGUGACUUCGUAGUAAAAGAGUGCGGGUACUAGACUGGCCUGCCUGCAGUCCAGACCUGUCUCCCAUUGAAAAUGUGUGGUGCAUUAUGAAGCGUAAAAUACGACAACAGAGACCCCAGACUGAAGCUGUACAUCAAGCAAGAAUGGGAAAGAAUUCCACCUACAAAGCUUCAACAACUAGUGUCCUCAGUUCCCCAACAUUUAUUGAAUGUUAUUAAAAGAAAAGGUGAUAUAACACAGUUUUUGUAACACAUGACCCUGUCCCAGCUUUUUUGGAACGUGUUGCAGCCAUAAAAUUCUAAGUUAAUGAUUAUUUGCUAAUAACAAUAAAGUUGAUCAGUUUGAACAUUAAAUAUCUUAUCUUUGUAGUGUAUUCAAUUAAAUAUAGGUUGAACAUGAUUUGCAAAUCAUUGUAUUCUGUUUUUAUUUAUGGUUAACAGGUUGUGUUAACGGCGGCACGGUGGCCGACUGGUUAGAGCGUCAGCCUCACAGUUCUGAGGUGCGGGGUUCAAUCCCCGUCCCCGCCUGUGUGGAGUUUGCAUGUUCUCCCCGUGCCUGCGUGGGUUUUCUCCGGGCACUCCGGUUUCCUCCCACAUCCCAAAAACAUGCAUUAAUUGGAGACUCUAAAUUGCCCGUAGGCAUGACUGUGAGUGCGAAUGGUUGUUAGUUUCUAUGUGCCCUGCGAUUGGCUGGCAACCAGUUCAGGGUGUACCCCGCCUCCUGCCCGAUGACAGCUGGGAUAGGCUCCAAGCACGCCCGCGACCCUAGUGAGGAGAAGCGGCUCAGAAAAUGGAUGGAUGGAUGGAGGUUGUGUUAACCAACUUCAUUGGAAUUGGGGUUGUACUUUUGGUGACAGUUAAUAAAUGUGGGUCCACAGCAGUGGAGAUAAGUUUAAAACCACUUUUAUUUUUUUUUAGAAAAACAGAAGACCAACAUAGACUUGCACAGUAACACUGGUGAGUGGAAUACAGACUCCGACUAAUGCGUGACUUCACCCAAGCGGGUCAUUACAUAGAAAGCCGAUCGUGUGAGUGCGUGCAAGUGUCUUAAUGUGCAGUGAUGACAGGAAGCAACCCUGAGCCUUGUUUCACAUAAAUAUAUUACAAAUAAAUGUUGGCCGACGUUUAGAUUUGGCCCAGAAAUUGUAGAAAAGAGAUUCAUACUGUUUUCUGGAAUUCAGAAGCCAACCUGGUGACUUUCAGGGAGCCAGAUAGAGAGAGUGGGCCUCAUGCAUGAAACAUCUGUGCGGAUAGUAUUACUCUGUAAUUGUACGUACAACUAAUUCAAUUGUUGUCUUUUUUGUGUUGUUUCUUUUAAUCCGCAAGCUUCAUCUGAAGCUAAUUUAAAACUAUCAAUGAAAAAGCAAAUCAUGAAAACAUGACUCAAGGCAAAGAAAUUCAGUUCAAUCAAACCUAUCAAUCCAUUUCAAGGAACAUUACUGUGACACUGGAUGUAUUUUGUAUAAAUUUUGUAUCAAAUUUAGGUCGUAGUAUAAUAUGCAUCUUAUUUUUCUCUAUAAAUAAGUGAAAAAUAAGAAACAUUCAUGCAUGAAGCCCAAUUUUCUGACUUGUCAUAAACGUCCAACCAUGUAUAUUGACUUCCAAGCAGGGAAGAGUUCCUCUUGAUCCCCAAAUCCCUGACAUCCUGUGAUGGCUUUUCAAUAAAAUAGACUGAACCG